rnacentral:rRNA from 1 species
GAUGAACGCUAGCGGCAGGCUUAAUACAUGCAAGUCGAGGGGCAGCAUGAUUGUAGCAAUACAAUUGAUGGCGACCGGCAAACGGGUGCGGAACACGUACACAACCUCCCAAUAAGUGGGGAAUAGCCUAGAGAAAUUUGGAUUAAUACCCCGUAACAUAACGAUGUGGCAUCACAUUGUUAUUAUAGAUUUUUCGCUUAUUGAUGGGUGUGCGGCUGAUUAGAUAGUUGGCGGGGUAACGGCCCACCAAGUCUACGAUCAGUAGCUGAUGCGAGAGCAUGAUCAGCCACACGGGCACUGAGACACGGGCCCGACUCCUACGGGAGGCAGCAGUAAGGAAUAUUGGACAAUGGACGCAAGUCUGAUCCAGCCAUGCCGCGUGAAGGAUUAAGGUCCUCUGGAUUGUAAACUUCUUUUAUAAGGGACGAAAAAAGGCUUUUCUAAGUCGUCUGACGGUACCUUAUGAAUAAGCACCGGCUAACUCCGUGCCAGCCGCCGCGGUAAGAC